rnacentral:lncRNA from 1 species
UUUCUUUCUAUUUUUAGUAGAGAUGGGGGUCUCACUUUUGCUCAGGCUGGUCUCUCUGGUCUCUAACUCUUGACCUAGAGCGAUCCUCCCACUUGGCCUCCCAGAGUGCUAGGAUUAUAGGCCUGAGCCACUGCACCUGGCCUCAUUAUUAUUUUUUAAAAUAAGAGACAGCAUCUUGUUACAUAGCCCAGGCUGGAAUGCACUGGCUAUAAACAGGCACGAUCCCACUACUGAAUUGUAUCUUCUUAAACCGUGAAUUUUGUUAUGUGAAUUCUGUCUCAAAAAAGAAAUCUUAUCUCCACAAAUAUCUUAAAAAUGUCAAUUACUGACUUUUUCAUAGUUGCAAUCCCUGUCCCACCUCCUCCUUCCCCAUUCCAUUCCCUUUCUGCCCUCCCCUUACCUGCCCCUACGGUCCCACCGCCUCCCUCCCUUCCCCCCUGGUGCUGAGUCUCCAGGCCCCCCAGGAGCGCCUCUGGACCCUUGGGCGCCUGCGCCCUGAGGGUUUGGCCGGUGAGCCAGUGCGCACGCGCAGCAAGCGCUGCCACCCCGGGGAAAUGGACACAACCAGCUGGUGCUUCUCGAGCGCUUCGGUUGAUGGCGGAGGUCCAAGGAGGCAGCACGCGCUGGGGACUUGGAGAAUUCUGGAGUUUGUAGCAGACCAAGUGUCUGGGUUGGAGUUUGCAAUCCCAAGGAAGUGUCCAUCCCCAGGGAAAUUUCCAUCACUACAAAGGAAUCAAGGAAGCAGUCAGUCCCUGGUAAGUAAGAUGCUCUCCCUACACACCAACACACAGUCAGGCACCUUAUAACAGAGUGCAACACAUCUCUACUAGCUCUUCCUGGGUACCAUGGACA